rnacentral:rRNA from 1 species
UACGUAGGGUGCGAGCGUUGUCCGGAAUUAUUGGGCGUAAAGAGCUCGUAGGCGGUCUGUCGCGUCGAUCGUGAAAACUUGGGGCUUAACCCUGAGCUUGCGGUCGAUACGGGCAUGACUGGAGUUCGGCAGGGGAGACUGGAAUUCCUGGUGUAGCGGUGAAAUGCGCAGAUAUCAGGAGGAACACCGGUGGCGAAGGCGGCAUCCUGGACCGACAUUGACGCUGAACGGCGAAAGCUAGGGGAGCAAACGGG